AUUGAACGCUGGCGGCAGGCCUAACACAUGCAAGUCGAGCGGAUGAAGGGAGCUUGCUCCUGGAUUCAGCGGCGGACGGGUGAGUAAUGCCUAGGAAUCUGCCUGGUAGUGGGGGACAACGUUUCGAAAGGAACGCUAAUACCGCAUACGUCCUACGGGAGAAAGCAGGGGACCUUCGGGCCUUGCGCUAUCAGAUGAGCCUAGGUCGGAUUAGCUAGUUGGUGGGGUAAAGGCUCACCAAGGCGACGAACCGUAAAUGGUCUGAGAGGAUGAUCAGUAACACUGGAACUGAGACACGGUCCAGACUCCUACGGGAGGCAGCAGUGGGGAAUAUUGGACAAUGGGCGAAAGCCUGAUCCAGCCAUGCCGCGUGUGUGAAGAAGGUCUUCGGAUUGUAAAGCGCUUUAAGUUGGGAGGAAGGGUUGUAGAUUAAUACUCUGCAAUUUUGACGUUACCGACAGAAUAAGCACCGGCUAACUCUGUGCCAGCAGCCGCCGUAA
rnacentral:rRNA from 1 species